CCUACGGGUGGCAGCAGUGAGGAAUAUUGGUCAAUGGCCGAGAGUCUGAACCAGCCAAGUCGCGUGAAGGAUGACUGCCCUAUGGUUUGUAAACUUCUUUUAUAUGGGAAUAAAGUUUUCCACGUGUGGGAUUUUGUAUGUACCCUAUGAAUAAGCAUCGGCUAACUCCGUGCCAGCAGCCGCGGUAAUACGGAGGAUGCGAGCGUUAUCCGGAUUUAUUGGGUUUAAAGGGAGCGUAGGUGGAUUGUUAAGUCAGUGGUGAAAGUUUGUGGCUCAACCGUAAAAUUGCAGUUGAAACUGGCAGUCUUGAGUAUAGUAGAGGUGGGCGGAAUGCGUGGUGUAGCGGUGAAAUGCGUAGAUAUCACGAAGAACUCCGAUUGCGAAGGCAGCUUACUGGACGAUAACUGACACUGAGGCGCGAAAGUGUGGGGAUCAAACAGGAUUAGAUACCCCGGUAGUC
rnacentral:rRNA from 1 species